AGAUCACCGAAGUCAAGCCUCAUUAUGCGCGGUCAGUACUUGGGUGGGUGACCACCUGAGAACAUCGCGUGCAGUU
rnacentral:rRNA from 1 species